rnacentral:rRNA from 1 species
CCGUUGCCGGCGACCGGCGCACGGGUGAGUAACACGUAUGCAACCUGCCCGUGGCAGGGGGAUAAGCGGGGGAAACCCCGUCUAAUACCGCGUAACGCGGCCUUGGGGCAUCCCAAGGCCGCCAAAGGGAGCAAUCCCGGCCACGGAUGGGCAUGCGGCGCAUUAGCUAGUCGGCGGGGUAACGGCCCACCGAGGCGACGAUGCGUAGGGGUUCUGAGAGGAAGGCCCCCCACACUGGUACUGAGACACGGACCAGACUCCUACGGGAGGCAGCAG